rnacentral:sRNA from 1 species
GCUGGGCGUGGUGGCGCGUGCCUGUAAUCCCAGCUACUCAGGAGGCUGAGGCAGGAGAAUUGCCUGAACCCAGGAGGCGGAGGUUGUCGUGAGCCGAGAUCGCGCCAUUGCACUCCAGCCUGGGUAACAAGAGCGAAACUCCGUCUCAAAAAAAAAAAGAGUAAGUUUCUCAACAAGAAGUAAUUAGGUGCAAGGUCAGACCUUUUUUUUUGAGACAGAGUCUCGCUCUGUUGCCCAGGCUGGAGUGCAGUGGUGCGAUCUUGGCUCACUGUAACCUCUGUCUCCCAGGUUCAAGCGAUUCUCCUGCCUCAG